rnacentral:rRNA from 1 species
GGGUUGUGAGGUUAAGCGACUAAGCGUACACGGUGGAUGCCCUGGCAGUCAGAGGCGAUGAAGGACGUGCUAAUCUGCGAAAAGCGCCGGCGAGGUGAUAUGAACCUUUGACCCGGCGAUGUCCGAAUGGGGAAACCCAGUGUGUUUCGACACACUAUCGUUAACUGAAUACAUAGGUUAACGAGGCGAACCGGGGGAACUGAAACAUCUAAGUACCCCGAGGAAAAGAAAUCAACCGAGAUUCCCCCAGUAGCGGCGAGCGAACGGGGAGCAGCCCGGAGUCUGAAUCAGCUUGUGUGUUAGUGGAACGGUCUGGAAAGUCCGACGGUACAGGGUGAUAGUCCCGUACACGAAAAUGCACAGGUUGUGAACUCGAAGAGUAGGGCGGGACACGUGGUAUCCUGUCUGAAUAUGGGGGGACCAUCCUCCAAGGCUAAAUACUCCUGACUGACCGAUAGUGAACCAGUACCGUGAGGGAAAGGCGAAAAGAACCCCGGCGAGGGGAGUGAAAAAGAACCUGAAACCGUGUACGUACAAGCAGUGGGAGCACCUUCGGGUGUGACUGCGUACCUUUUGUAUAAUGGGUCAGCGACUUAUAUUCUGUAGCAAGGUUAACCGUAUAGGGGAGCCGAAGGGAAACCGAGUCUUAACUGGGCGUUAAGUUGCAGGGUAUAGACCCGAAACC